GGCGAACGCUGGCGGCGGGCCUAACACAUGCAAGUCGAACGGACCUGUCGGGGUUAAUGGCGGACGGGGGAGUACGACGUGGGAACGUGCAUUUAGGUACGGAAUAACUCAGGGUAACUUGUGCUCAUACCGAAUGUGCUCUUCGGGGGUAAGAUUUAUCGCCGUUUGAGCGGCCCGCGUCUGAUUAGCUAGUUGGGUGAGGUAAUGGCUCACCAAGGCGACGAUCAGUAGCUGGUAGGUGAGGAUGAUCCGCCACAUCGGGACUGCGACACGGCCCAAACUCGUACGGGAGGGAGCAGUGGGGAAUCCUGCGCAAUGGGCGCAAGUCUGACAACGCCACGCGGGGGGAAUGAUGAUGGGCUUAGGAUUCUAAAAUUGUUUGAGACGGGACGAUAAUGACGGUACCCGGUGAAGAAGCCCCGGCUAACUACGUG
rnacentral:rRNA from 1 species